rfam:Bacillus selenatarsenatis SF-1 DNA, contig: BSSF00048.
AAGUCCUUUAAAGACAGUCCCGUGAGGCUGAGAAGGAAACGGAUUUGCAGGCAGGCAUAUGAUGUAUGUUCUGAUGCAUGCUAACACCACACGUUUACCCUCUUGCCGAUACAGACAAGAGGGUUUUUUACU